UUUAGCCGACUAGUGAUGGCAUGGUCAUCGGCUCACCAUUACCUCUUCCAAUCGUUUGUCUCAUUCCACCUGCUCUAAGUGAUACGUGUUAUCCCAUCGAUGCAUAUUCACCAGACGAUCACCUUUCCCCACUCCAUCGCCAUUACUGUCCAAUGUAAUACUUACAGGGCUGCUUAUGGCCAUCGACUCUACUGCUUUGAUCUUCUUUUGUUACCCCUUUUAACUUCCCUCCUACAUACAUGAAUCAUCGUUUACCACUUCAUUCGCUCAAUUUAUGCAGUCGGUGCUUUCUUCCAUCAUAUAACUUCCUUUAUCUUAUCUCUAUCUCCUAUUAAUUUCUUCACUUCUGCAAUCGACACUAUUCUCCAACUUUCCAGGUAUAUCGCAACCUCACUGUUCAUUUAAGAUGAGUAGCGUCUUCACCAUUUUUCUCUUCCAAUAGUUGUUAUCCACCUACCUGCCCUCCACCACUUCUCAUCUCACCCGGUAGAUGUUUGUUGAUGCCGAAAAUCCCAACACCAUCUUAAAUUCAUCGUACAUCCAUCUACAACACCUCUUAUAGAAUCCAUGACACCCACCUCUAGCACCGUCUUCCUCCUGUUCCGCCCUCCACCGCCUGGAAAUCAAAGGCAUUCUCCAUCUUAGACUUUUUGAUUUUAUUCUUCCAAAUGAAUUAUGUGGUUCUCAGCUUCGAUUAGCAUAUAAUGGUGGUGCCUCCAGUCGACCAGCUUCGUUGCUCUCGUCGUCCGUAAUCGGAAACCUUUUCCAAAAAAAUAAAAUUGACAGGUUUUAUAUCCAUCAACCCCCGAAUCUUUCCUCGGACGCAUAUCCCCUUAUUAAUUGAAGAUCAUUACUGAUGGAAGGCCCCACUUCUCAAUAAGGUAGAGGUUCAGGAUUCGAAGGGCAUUAUGAAUGGAAGACACACAAUGACUGAGGAAAAUGAAAAUAAGUUUUUUUUUUUAUGAUGCACACCAACUGUUUGACUUAAGGCCUCAAAGAAAUCAACUCGUUUUAGAUCAACAACAAUGGAUUCUAAGCUUAUUUUCCUACUGAUCCAACUUUGAAGGAUAUAAAAGAUCAUUCCAGGAAGGUGACCACGGGGAUUUAUGCUACAUAAUUCACAAAAAUAUACUCCAUAUAUAAAAUAAUUUAUGUUAUUUUUUUUAUCAGCCAUUGAAAGCUAGAAGUUGCAAAAGAAUGUUUUCACACUUAUAUUCUCCCAAUUGACCAUUUACCGGAUAUUUCUGAUAAGCAGGCACCCCUUUAGGAUGCUUUUCUUCUUGCUGAAGAUUUACUCCGUGUCACACCCACGAACCAGGAUGACGGAAACAUCUGGGGUGGAUGCCUUCAUGAACAGUAUCACAAUAUAAUGUGCAAUAGUGAUAAAAGCAAACACAACCAUCAUAAAUAUAAUUGAGAAAAUUACAUUGUUUCCAAGUAUUGUAUGUUUCAAAACCAAUUACAUUAUGAUGAAAAAAAAAUGAAUAGUACAACGUCAUAACGCCC